rnacentral:rRNA from 1 species
AUUGAACGCUGGCGGCAUGCCUUACACAUGCAAGUCGAACGGUAACAGGUCUUCGGAUGCUGACGAGUGGCGCACGGGUGCGUAAUACAUCGGAACGUGCCUAGUAGUGGGGGAUAACUACUCGAAAGAGUGGCUAAUACCGCAUGAGAUCUACGGAUGAAAGCAGGGGAUCGCAAGACCUUGUGCUACUAGAGCGGCCGAUGGCAGAUUAGGUAGUUGGUGGGAUAAAAGCUUACCAAGCCGACGAUCUGUAGCUGGUCUGAGAGGACGAUCAGCCACACUGGGACUGAGACACGGCCCAGACUCCUACGGGAGGCAGCAGUGGGGAAUUUUGGACAAUGGGCGCAAGCCUGAUCCAGCAAUGCCGCGUGCAGGAUGAAGGCCUUCGGGUUGUAAACUGCUUUUGUACGGAACGAAAAGCCCUGGGUUAAUACCCUGGGGUCAUGACGGUACCGUAAGAAUAAGCACCGGCUAACUACGUG